GAUGAAGAACGCAGCGAAAUGCGAUAAGUAAUGUGAAUUGCAGAAUUCAGUGAAUCAUCGUAUCUUUGAACGCAUCUUGCGCUCCUUGGUAUUCUGAGGAGCAUGCCUGUUUGAGUGUCAUUAAAUUCUCAACUACACUGACUUUGAAUUGGUGUGGCUUGGAUUUGGGGGGAAAAUUGUUGUGGGCUUUUUGUAUAGUCUGCUCCCCUGAAAUUGAUUAGCGGUACCUUUGUGGAACUGUCUACAGGUGUGAUAUUAUCUACAUCUUAGACAUCUGCUGGAAUGCUGCUUUCUAAACCUUACUUGUAUUGACAAUCUUGACCUCAAAUCAGGUAGGACUACCCGCUGAACUUAAGCAUAUCAAUAAGCGGAGGA
rnacentral:misc_RNA from 1 species